rnacentral:rRNA from 1 species
AUACGAAGGGUGCAAGCGUUGUUCGGAUUUAUUGGGCGUAAAGCGCGCGCAGGCGGAUAAGUAAGUCAGAUGUGAAAUCUCGGGGCUCAACCCCGAAACUGCGUCUGAAACUACUUGUCUAGAGUACUGGAGAGGGAAGGGGAAUUUCGCAUGUAGGGGUAAAAUCCGUAGAGAUGCGAAGGAACACCAGAGGCGAAGGCGCCUUCCUGGACAGUCACUGACGCUGAGGCGCGAAAGCGUGGGGAGCAAACAGGAUUAGAAACCCUAGUAGUCC